CGGCUUAAUGGCUUAUCAUCAACUUUGCUAUGCCAAGGUGCUGGUGUUGGCUUCGAUGGAUACAGUGAGUGAACUGAAGGUCUGGAGCCUUGUGCACUUUGUUGUGCUGAAGGUGGCACUGUUUCGACAAGGCAGAGGGGCAGAGAGGAGGAUAGGAGGAGGCGCUCAAGCGGCGGAGGAGAGGAGGCGAUUCCAUCAGUUCAUGCCGUUUCCGAGCCCCCUCUUUGUUCGAGUUUGAUUUUCCCUUUGAUUAUCGACUCCCCAGGUGAAGUGGGUGAAAGGGAUGAAGAAUUUGUGAAGCUGGUGAAGGGGCUUAAGAGUUGGAGUAGGAUUUAUGAGGGUUCCUGACCUGUAGAUUGUCCGCUGAUCUCCGCCAGUUUUUGGCUGUUAUUCCUGGACCGGGUUGUGGUCCAGGUUUAGUUGAUUCGGGUUUAUUUUCUGACCCGUUUUAUUUCUAAUACAGCUACAGACAGUGCCUGCGGGGGUUGGUUUUGGACAUACAAGUGGCAUCUGCUUAUUAGUCAGGAUAUUUGAAUGUUUUCCAAUUGUAAAA